rnacentral:rRNA from 1 species
UACCAGCGACCCCGAGUGGUCGGGACGAUUAUUGGGCCUAAAGCAUCCGUAGCCGGUUCUACAAGUCUUCCGUUAAAUCCACCUGCUUAACAGAUGGGCUGCGGAGGAUACUAUAGAGCUAGGAGGCGGGAGAGGCAAGCGGUACUUAGUGGGUAGGGGUAAAAUCCGUUGAUCCAUUGAAGACCACCAGUGGCGAAGGCGGCUUGCCAGAACGCACUCGACGGUGAGGGAUGAAAGCUGGGGGAGCAAACCGG